GGUAGGGCUGAUGCCGUCCUGCUUCUGGGUCAAAUCUGAGGCAUUUCUUCCUGCCCUGAGCGUGUUUGGUUUUGCUGAAGGUGGUAUCGUAAAGGUGACAGCUUUGCUGAGCCUAAUGGGCCUGCCUUCCCUACAUGAAUUCUCAGUAACUUUCAAGAGCUACCGGUGAGAAGAGGGCAGGGUUAUACUGAGAGACAGUGGAGAUGUCCCAGCCUUCAUUUUUUAAUGCGCUAUGGCAAAUGCCACAAAGGUCAUGGGUCUGGCAACAAUGGGGAAGUGAAGAUGAAUACUUCUUGGAGCCCAGCUAACGGCUGCAAGUGCUGGAUGCCAAACUCCUGUGUUUGUCACAUCAGAGCCACGUCGCUUCACCCUUGCAGCGCGGCGGGCUUAAGGAGGCCCUCUGACUGCUACAGAAAGCUGCCCUGGUGGUAUCGCUGGGCUCAACAAGUGCUUCCUCCAGAGGUGACACUGAGACCGAGGGCGUGAGGGCUGUGUACCACCAGAUUCAUUUCCUGGCUCGAUUUCUCAUUAUUGGAGCAAUACUGGGCAAGUCACUUGAUCUGUGGGAACCUCAGCAUUGUCUUUUUCAGAAUAAAUAUAAAAAUAGUAUUUUUCUCAAAGAGCUGUUUAAGAUUAAAUGGACCUAGUGUAAG
rnacentral:lncRNA from 1 species